CGUGUAGGCGGAGAGAUAAGUCUGGUGUGAAAUAUCCCGGCUCAACCGGGAAAGCGCGCUGGAAACUGUCUUACUGGAGUGAUGGAGGGGGAGCUGGAAUUCCUGGUGUAGGGGUGAAAUCUGUAGAGAUCAGGAAGAACACCGGAGGCGAAGGCGAGCUCCUGGCCAUUUACUGACGCUGAGGCGCGAAAGCGUGGGGAGCGAACA
rnacentral:rRNA from 1 species